rnacentral:rRNA from 1 species
UGGGGAAUAUUGCACAAUGGAGGGAACUCUGAUGCAGCGACGCCGCGUGAGUGAUGAAGGACUUCGUUUCGUAAAACUCUGUUCUAUGGGAAGAAAAGGACUGUACCAUAGGAGAAAGCUCCGGCUAAAUACGUGCCAGCAGCCGCGGUAAUACGUAUGGAGCGAGCGUUGUCCGGAAUUAUUGGGCGUAAAGGGUGCGCAGGCGGCUUUACAAGUUGGAUGUGAAAUAUUGUGGCUCAACCACAAACGUGCAUCCAAAACUGCAAAGCUUGAGUCAAGGAGAGGUAAGUGGAAUUCCUGGUGUAGCGGUGGAAUGCGUAGAUAUCAGGAGGAAUACCGGUGGCGAAGGCGACUUACUGGACUUAAACUGACGCUCAGGCACGAAAGCGUGGGGAGCAAACAGG